rnacentral:misc_RNA from 1 species
CCCACCCAGUCACUACUCGCACAUUCCAACCCAAACGCCAUGAAUCAAUGCGCAACCUCUCUUCUCUUCUUCUUGUAGCUUCAAAAUACACCGCCAAAUUCUUACAUUUUGCUUGCCUCACCACUCAAAAUCGCUCCAUUUCUCGCUUUUACUUCAGAUCCGCUUGAUUUUUCACCUUGAUUUUGCUCCUAAUUUACGAUCUCACCCACUCUUCUCUCCCAAAACAGAAAAACCGUAUCCUUGGCUCUUAUCUUCCUCAGUACUCCUGCUUUCUUUCUUUGUGUCUACGGUUCUACCUGUCGAGAAACCCUAGAUUUCAUUUUCGCCCUCCUGUUUGUAUAAAUUUUCCUUCGCUAGACUUUACGUUUUCAUUCUUUACCAAACGCUUUAGCUUUGUAGUCCCAUUGUUUUUGUAACUAUUGACGGUUGUAGUUAUUUUUCUUGUUUUUUCUUUUGGUAGUUUUUGCACAAAUUU